rnacentral:rRNA from 1 species
AUGAGUGUGGCUGCCGGCCAUGGCCGUGGUCAUGUGCCACUGCCUCUCCCGCUGGAAGGACGGAGCUCGCGGCCAAGAUCCGGGGAGAAGGAGCUCCGUGAUGGCGAGCUCCUCCAGGAGCAGGGCGACCACGUACUCCAAGAGCACGACGUUGACGACAAGCUUGAGGCUCCUUCGGGCGACCUUAACGAGGAGAAGGGUGGCAGUUGGAUGAGGGUUAAAACCACGCCGGAGUCACCGUGUUGUCCUCUGACGACACAGCCGGCGCCCCAUGAUCUUCAGGACGGCGGCGGCGCGGCAGUUGGACCUUCCUGCUAG